rnacentral:misc_RNA from 1 species
GGGGCAUCAAGGAGAACUCGAUCAAAGCUGUCAGGAUCAAAACCUUUUGAAUUCUCAACCCUACCACCAAGGCACUGAUUUCUUCCUGGCCCAUUCCUCAUUCUUCGCCUACUCUUCCUGAUGUCAGCUUUGCUAACAUAAGUUCUCUCAUUCUCUUUUUCGUUGCUAACAAUUUCAUUACACCCCUUUUCUGGAUUCAAUCCUUGAACAGUAGAAGAUGUUUUCUCCUCAUGAAAUGUCAUUAGUUCAGUGCUUUGAACGGUGACAUUAUCAUUGGAUCCAUUUCUUCGACGAACAGCUUUGAGAGCAUCCAGUUUAUAAGUUGUUAUACAUGUCAAGCUCAUUUCAGCAGCCAAUUUCUGAAUAUCCAGCACCUUAUUAUGAGAUCUAUCGGC